CUGUUAAGGCUAGGGGGUCAUCCCGACUUACCAACCCUUUGCAAACUCCGAAUACCAGUAAGUACUAUCCGGGAGACACACGGCGGGUGCUAACGUCCGUCGUGGAGAGGGAAACAACCCAGACCGCCAGCUAAGGUCCCAAAGUAUUGCUAAGUGGGAAACGAUGUGGGAAGGCUCAGACAGCUAGGAUGUUGGCUUAGAAGCAGCCAUCAUUUAAAGAAAGCGUAAUAGCUCACUAGUCGAGUCGGCCUGCGCGGAAGAUGUAACGGGGCUAAGCAAUACACCGAAGCUGCGGCAAUAUCUUUUAGAUAUUGGGUAGGGGAGCGUUCUGUAAGCCGUUGAAGGUGAAUCGUAAGGUUUGCUGGAGGUAUCAGAAGUGCGAAUGCUGACAUGAGUAACGACAAAGGGGGUGAAAAACCUCCUCGCCGGAAGACCAAGGGUUCCUGUCCAACGUUAAUCGGGGCAGGGUGAGUCGACCCCUAAGGUGAGGCCGAAAGGCGUAAUCGAUGGGAAACGGGUUAAUAUUCCCGUACUUCUGACUAUUGCGAUGGGGGGACGGAGAAGGCUAGGUGGGCCAGGCGACGGUUGUCCUGGUUCAAGUGCGUAGGCUUGAGAGUUAGGUAAAUCCGGCUCUCUCUAAGGCUGAGACACGACGUCGAGCUGCUACGGCAGUGAAGUCAUUGAUGCCAUGCUUCCAGGAAA
rnacentral:rRNA from 1 species